AAGCUAUCCAGCAGUGGCAAUCCCCCUGGAAAACAUGGGUCGACCGACACAGGCCUUGAAACAUAUUUGACAUCUGCAGAGAGAGUGUCUCAAGCCCUGAAACCGAACCUGGACUACUCGGUGGAAUCAAUCUGAUAUACGGUGUUUGUUUAGCAAUGGGCGUUCAAUGGAAGCGGAGGCUGAAGCAAGAAGGGGCUGUCGAGAAUCAGAAUACGGCUUCUCCUGAUGGACAGUUACUGAGAUAUCAGCCUCCAAGACCGAGAAGAAGCAAAAUGGAUGGGACAGAGCCAAACGUAUGGACAAGCUGAUCGAACAGGCAAGAGCCAUGAUCCUUGGGUGUUCCAAGUGUUUUGGUGUAAGAACACUGCUGCCCCUGGAGCUUCGAUCCACUCUGAAGCAUGAUUUCAGAUGCCUUUUCAUGACAAAUCAUUCCCCUCUUGUUGGAAAAAAAAUCAAAGGUGAGAAAGCCUGUGGUUUGUGUCUCACUUGUUACAAGAAGAAGAAGCAAUGCAAUCCGUGCGCCGAAAGAGGUCAGAAUCUCUGGUCCCGCUUCCUCGAUGUCCGAAAGAAACCAAUCUCUGUUAUACGUUUGUCGGCAA